AUUGAACGCUGGCGGAACGCUUUACACAUGCAAGUCGAACGGCAGCACGGGGGCAACCCUGGUGGCGAGUGGCGAAUGGGUGAGUAAUACAUCGGAACGUGCCCAGUCGUGGGGGAUAACGUAGCGAAAGUUACGCUAAUACCGCAUACGAUCUACGGAUGAAAGCGGGGGACCGUAAGGCCUCGCGCGAUUGGAGCGGCCGAUGUCAGAUUAGGUAGUUGGUGAGGUAAAGGCUCACCAAGCCGACGAUCUGUAGCUGGUCUGAGAGGACGACCAGCCACACUGGGACUGAGACACGGCCCAGACUCCUACGGGAGGCAGCAGUGGGGAAUUUUGGACAAUGGGCGCAAGCCUGAUCCAGCCAUUCCGCGUGCAGGACGAAGGCCUUCGGGUUGUAAACUGCUUUUGUACGGAACGAAGAGGCUCUGGUUAAUACCUGGGGCUCAUGACGGUACCGUAAGAAUAAGCACCGGCUAACUACGUGCCAGCAGCCGCGGUAA
rnacentral:rRNA from 1 species